UUGCUCAGUCACUUAGUUAGACAGACAUGGGCAUUAGAUAAGCAUGCUUAUGAACUACUUCUUAUGACCUCCUGGUUAUGAUUAAUUUUGAAGGGCCAAACAGAUGUG